GCUUCUGUAUUAUACGAAUUUAAAUUAUCAAAAUUAACCGCAGCAGUACAGUUUAUGAUUUCGUUAUAUACGUAUACGUAUUAUCCAUCGUAAACACUAUUUGGAUACGUGUUAUUAUUAUAGGUAUUUCACACGAUUUCAAAGCUCCACGGGACUGAACGGCCGGUCUCAAUGUUUCAAAGCAGUGUUUCCCAUCCUGUGGUCCGCGAGAACAUUGGACGCACUUAUGGUAUGAACGUGAAGCGAUAGUGGACUUUAUUACGGCGUUUGUUGUUUACAUUUAUCGUGCAUAAUGUCGGUUUGUC